rnacentral:lncRNA from 1 species
UUUCACACUUAAGUAUACACUCAAAGGACACCUAUGCUCACCUAUGCUCAUUGUAGAUUUAUUCAUUGUAGCCAGAAACUUGCAAUAACCUACAUGUCCUGAAACUGAAGAAUGUAAAAAGAAAAUAUGGUAUAUUUCACAAUGGUGUAUUACUCUGCUGUUAAAAAAAAUGACAUCAUGAAAUUUGCAGGCUAAUGGAAAAAUAAAACAAAACCAACUAACCAACCAAACAAGAACACCAUGAGUGAGUUAACCCAGACCCAGAAAGGCAAAUAUGUUUGGUGCCUUGUCAAGUUGUCAUUAGAAAGACUACCACUGGAAGAAGAUUGGAAUGGAUGCACAGAUCUAUAGACAAGCAUCAUGUGAAGAAAGUCUAAAUUGGAGGUCUCCAUUGGGUCUUCUCCCUCAGAUUGGGGAAUCUCACAAAAGAGAAGAAACAAUUAUGAGAAUAAGAGGGGGUGAAGGCAAACAUGGCCUACUGAAUCAAACAGAGCUCCCAUGGGCUUGCUCAGAGUGAAACAGCAAGGACAGGGUCUGCAUGGGUUUGGAACAAGUCAUCUAUGUACAUAUUAUGGCUGUUAGCUUGGUGUUUUGUGAGUCUUCUAACAGUAGGAGUGGGUGUAUCUCUGACUUCUCUUGGGACCCUUUUCCUUAGAUUGUGAUCUCUUCUCCAGCCUUGUUAUGAGACUUUUUUGCCUUGUCUUACCAUACCAUGUUUUGUCCUGCUUGGAUGUCAUUUCUUAGAGGUCUGCUCUUUUCUGAAGAGGAAGAGAUAUAGAUCUGGGGGAGAUGGAAGGUAUGGAGAAGUUGGAAGGAAUGGACCAAAGGGAACUUGUUGUUGAGAUAUAUUGUAUGAGAGAAGAAUGCAUUUUCAAUAAAAGAAAAAAUAAAAAGGGAAGAAAAUGCAUGCAUAUCUCAUACUAGAUGAACUCCCUUGUUCUUCACUUACUAAUUCUACAUAGCUUCAUUCAUCACACAUAUUGUAGUCAUUGCUGGAAUCCC